UUUAGUGACCUUAUAAAUUACCAUUACUGAGUCCUCCUCCUUUUUGAUACUUGAUACAUUGGGCACAGUGUGUAUAAUGGUUAGGGACAUUAGCUUUGACAUAAAGCCUAGGCUCAAUCCUUGGAUUUCUUGUGUAGGAGCUGUGCGAUCUUAAGCAAGUUACUCACUCACUCUGACCCUGGUCUUCAUUUGCAAAAAAGGGCUUAACAAUAGUAACAUCUACCUCAUAUUAUAGAUAGACCCAAUUCUAAAAAAAAAAAAAAAAAAAAAGCAUCUAAAGACAUUGUACAGUGCUGGCAUAGAGGUUAGCUUUCAGUAAAGGGAACUUUUUCUCACCACGUUUUCCUGGUUGAGUUUACUUCAUGCUCUGCACAUUCUGGUGAUGUUUCUUGGGCUACUUCUGUACUUUACCUUUACUCACAGCACAUUCACUAUGGUCUUGUGUUUAUCGUUUCUCUGUUUAAAACAACAUCAGAGCCUUAUGGUGAAGCAGGUGGGCUGAACCAACAAAACUUAUGGGUUCAUAAUCGCAGCUGUGUCUCUUACUAGCUAAGUGCACUUGAACUUCCAAAUUGUACUUUCCCUUGUGCUUGUCUUUGCUAUUAUCACUAUUAAAUGAGGCUUAUAGUAGUAUCUACCUUCAUAGCUUCUGCCCACUUCAAAACUGCUGUGUGAAGAUUCAAUGAGCUAGGCAUGUAUCACGUAAUUAGCCCAAUUCCUGGAACAGAAUAAGCACCUACUAAAUGUUAGUCCUUCUACUCUCAGUCUCCAUAUUAAAGGUUUUGUCCCUGCAUUCAUUUAUUCUCCGUUCUCCCUUGCCCCCAUGUAAGAACAUCUGGUCAACCCCGUGCAUAUGACCUCUGUGGAGCCUUCAUACCAACUUCACCCCAGUCCAGACCUUUGUUCUUUCUUUCUGAUCAUAAGAACUGCUUCAUAGCUAGUUUCUCUGCCUGCAAUAUGCACCCCUUGAUCUACUGUCAACAAUAAAGUCAUUGAAUUCCCCCAAAUCACAUUCCUGAUCCUGUCUCUUUGACACUGAGAACUCCUGUGGUUCCCCAUUGUUUGCAGAUUAAAUUCUGAACUGCAAGUCAUGCUAUUCAAGAGCUCCCCUAUCCAGACUCCACUUCCCUUUCAAGCAUUAUCUCUCCCCUGCACACAUUGUUGUCUCCAGUGACCCAGAUGAAGAGAGCAUCCUCUCUUCCUAAGAUCUGACUACGAUUUCCCCAUCAGGGCCAUGGUUUCUCUUGUUCUCUCCAUUUCAAUAUCCUCCCUUUUCUAAGUGCCAUAUAACUAUCACUCUUUAAAGUUCAAUGCAGAUGCUAUCUUCACCAGGAUUUGACAUCUCCCCUACCUGUACACAGAAAAGAUACACACUUCUGGGAUGUCAUCUGACUCUUCCCAGUAAUGCCACAUUUUCUACCUUAUGUUCUGUCUAAAAAUAAUUUUCUUUCUUUCUUUUCCUUUGUUUUCAUUCUUUCCACAAGAUCAAAAUCUGUUAAGUACUCAUUUUGUCCCUCUGUCUUCUGCCCUUCACCUUAUAGUUUGCAUCAAUAUUUUCAGGGUAGAUAGGUGGGUAUCUUAAUUAACCCCUCUGGGCAUUGAAUCAGGCUCUGUGGAGGACACAGCAAAAACCAUAAAGAGCUCUCUUCCUAUCUUGCAGGGACAUAAAGCUGAAAUGAGAAGAAAGAGCAUGCACACAUGAAAAUGACUGAGUAACCUUCUCAGAGCAGCUCAUAAAUGGAAGCAGCUUAAUGCAGUGCCCUAGAGUUGGAUUCCUCUAUGCACUUCGACAACAUUGCAAUACCUGUAAGUGAAGACUAUGUGAAAGCAGAAUCGGGAAAGAAACUUGAUUUCAUUGCAAGAAAAGAAAACAAAGAAUGUUGAUUAGUUUCAGGUUUCCAUCCCUGUGUGAGAUCAUCACUUAUCCUGUAGCAUCCAAUAUCAGAAUGAGAAUGAGACCCAUAGGAGGAGAAAAGAGAAGGUUGCAGCUUCUAUCCCACCUCCCCCCUAAUGAGCCUGUGGGAGGGUGGAAAGCAGGACUCAGAAUGUUGGCCAUCAAGUGGGAGAGGAACUGUGGAAAGAGGGAAGUGGACUGGAGGAAGCUGACCAAGAUUUUUCUUGAGACAAGAAAUAAAGGCUACCAAGUUGGUGAGAAGGAGAAAGAGCUAUACAUCACCUGAUUAGAACAGGUUUCAACCAGGAGAGAAAGGCAAGUUUCACUAUUGUCAGAUGAUGGGAUAAAGCCAGACUUUCUCAUGGACUUCACUGGCAGUGCAAGGCAGAGACGGAGUGAGCGGAUGGGAAGGUGAGAAGAGACAUGUAAGAAGGGAAAACUUGUUAGCAACUAGUGAGGAUCAAAAUCCUCCCUCUCCUCUCAACCUUCUCUGAUGCCAUGUGCUCAUCUUCAGGGCACUUGAGGUGCUAUAGCUAGCAAGUGAGGACAUGUAGUCUCUCUGCUCAGUUUUUGCUGGGAAGGGUCGGGGAGAGGAAGAACACUUUUUCUUCUUCUUUUGAAAAAUUUUUGUAGUGUUUGGAUGCAGUAGAGUCAUUGUUAUCUGAAAGGUUUUUUGCCUUAUCAGGAUGUCUCUUUGCUGGCUCUUUGACUAGAGGAACAACUUUGUUGGUCGUUUCCUUUCUGUCUAUUGGUGUUUUCAAGUUGCCUCCUUCAACAUCUUUGCUUCUGGCACAUGUAAGACAAAGAUCAAGGGUCUCAGCACCACAUUAUCACACUAAUUCUUGGGUCCUUAGCAGAAGUUUUACUUUCUACACUUUCAAUGUCCCUUUAUCUAUAUGAUUUAAAAUGUCUAAGAUUCUUUCAUGGUGCCGAAUAGGAGGAGAAGGUAAUCAUC